GGGUUGUGAGGUUAAGCGACUAAGCGUACACGGUGGAUGCCCUGGCAGUCAGAGGCGAUGAAGGGCGUGCUAAUCUGCGAUAAGCGCCGGUAAGGUGAUAUGAACCGUUAUAACCGGCGAUACCCGAAUGGGGAAACCCAGUGUGAUUCGUCACACUAUCAUUAACUGAAUCCAUAGGUUAAUGAGGCGAACCGGGGGAACUGAAACAUCUAAGUACCCCGAGGAAAAGAAAUCAACCGAGAUUCCCCCAGUAGCGGCGAGCGAACGGGGAGGAGCCCAGAGCCUGAAUCAGCAUGUGUGUUAGUGGAAGCGUCUGGAAAGGCGCGCGAUACAGGGUGACAGCCCCGUACACAAAAGCGCAUGUGCUGUGAGCUCGAUGAGUAGGGCGGGACACGUGGUAUCCUGUCUGAAUAUGGGGGGACCAUCCUCCAAGGCUAAAUACUCCUGACUGACCGAUAGUGAACCAGUACCGUGAGGGAAAGGCGAAAAGAACCCCGGCGAGGGGAGUGAAAAAGAACCUGAAACCGUGUACGUACAAGCAGUGGGAGCACCCUUUUGGGUGUGACUGCGUACCUUUUGUAUAAUGGG
rnacentral:rRNA from 1 species